ensembl:lncRNA
CGGAAUCUCACCGCCAGAAGCCUCCAGCACAGGAGCGGUCCCUGGCACCCAGGACGUCUACUGCCCUUCCUGGUCCCCAUGGGGCCCCACUCUCCAGGCUUGCGCCCAUCACCGCCAACACCCAGAGCCACAACUGGUCCUGGAGAACACUCUCCGGCUUCCCGCUGUGUACCAGCGCCUCCACAGCCCUCACGUGCAACUUGCUCUGCCCAGCCCUCACGUGCAACUUGCUCUGCCCAUCUUUCCCCCUUGGGGACCGAGAGCACUUCUCUGCCCAGAGAUGCCACCAGCCAUGGAGGCCAGGGAAGGACACCACAUGAGGAGGAAGCCCAGGCCUCGUGGGGAGGCUUACUGAAGCUCGGCCAGCAUACCCAGGUUCAACUGCAGACCUGACAGUGACGUCACCUCCAGAGGAGUCCAGCUCCUAGUGUCAGUAUCAACCCCAACUGAUCUAACUGAGGACCUGUCAGUCAAUCCACGUUUGACAGGACAGAAGAGACUCCGUAUAUCUCCAAGG